rnacentral:ncRNA from 1 species
GGGAGCGGUAUGAGUCGAGAGGCUCACGUACUGUUCUACGAGGGACUGGGGGUGAGAUUCCCCCGGGCUACUCACC